AGGGUAUGUUCUGGCUCAGAAUGAACGCUAGAAACAUGCUUGACACAUGCGAGUUAAUAAAAAAAAAUUUAUAGCGAACGGGUGAGUAGUGUAUUGUGAUCUGCCGCACAACAAGGGAUAAUUCUAAUACCUUAUAACAAAAGGGAAACCUUUUGACAAAGAUUGAUCAUUGUGCGAUGAAACUUUACAACAUUAGGUAGUUGGAGUGAGUAAUGGUCCUCCAAGCCGAUGAUUUUUAGUUGGUCUAAACGGACGUACAACCACACAGGGACUGAGACAAGGACCUGACUAUUAAAGGCAGCAGUGGGGAAUAUUGGACAAUGAAGGAAACUUUGAUCCAGCGAUGUUUUGUGAGUGAUUGACGGCUAAAGCUGUAAAGCUCUUUCGGCAGUGAGGAUAAUGACGUCACUGAGGGAAGAAGUCCCGGCCAAUUCCGUGCCAGCAGCCGCGGUAAAACGGGGGGGACCGGCGUUAUUCGUAUGAAUUUGGCGUAAAGGGUACGUAGACGAACCUAAGAACACUUUAAUUGAAAAUUUAUAUCCUAAAAUAUAAAAUUAAUAUUGUAACCUUAGGGAUAGAGUAAUGGUCGAGUUGAUGGUAUUGUCAGUGUAUCGGGGUUAAAUCUAGCCAUACUGAUAGGAACGCCGAAGGUGAAGACGAUUUUCUAGACUAUUACUGACGUUCAGGUACGGAGGUGUAGGUAUUCAACGGGAUUAGAUACCCCGGUAGUCUACACAGUAAACGAUGGGCCCUAGGUAUUAGCGCUAUUGCUUGUAUCGAAGUUAACGCGUUAAGGGCUCCGCCUGAGGAGUACGAUCGCAAGAUUAAAACUCAAAGAAUGAGGCGGGGAUCCGCCCCAGUGGUGAAGCAUGUGGUUUAAUGCGACGGUCCGCGAGAAAUCUUACCUGUCUUUGACAUGUUACUUGAACUUUGAAAAAAGUGCACAAGUUUCACAGGGUUGCAUGGCUGUCGUCAGCACGUGUUUAAUAACCGCUAAUUAGUAAUUAGGAAACGAGCAAAAUCCUGUUCAUUAGGAAUGUAGGAGGUGUUCAUUAAUUUAUAGGCGCAUUCUAAUGAUAAAAUCUAUUAGGUUGAAAUGGGGACGACGUCAAGUCAUCACGGCUUUAACAGACAGGGCUACACACGUGCCGCAAAGAUGUCUACAAAAGGAGGCGAUAACGAAAUUUGAGCAAGACCGAAAAGACAUCGUAGUACCGAUCGGGUUCUGAAACUUGGACUCGUGAAGGUGGAAUCACUAGUAAUCGUAGAUAAGAACGCUACGGUGAAUACGUACUCGGAUUUUGCACAAACUGCCCGUCACGCGCUGGGAGUUGAUCAGGCUUUAAGGGUAAACUAUGCAAUUAAACUUAACAAUUUAGUUGUUUUGGUGCUCGACAGUGGGGUCGGUAACCGGGGUGAAGUCGUAACAAGGUAGUUGUAGGGGAACCUGUAGCUG
rnacentral:rRNA from 1 species